AUUCAGCUGACAAGUCCCAAGUAGAACGAAACAUGCGUCCUGGAU
rfam:Schistosoma curassoni strain Dakar, Senegal genome assembly, scaffold: SCTD_scaffold0004641